rnacentral:rRNA from 1 species
AGACUGUGUGAUGAUAACGCGCUCACAAGCUAUGAUACGACCCAACUCUGAGUGUGUUUCGCGCCAUGGACUAGACCGCACAACCUCCGGAGGCAUCAGUAGGAAUCUUCCCCAUGGAGCAGUCUGAUGAGCAACCCCGGUGAGUGAAGAAAGCUUCCGGUCGUAAAUUUGUUCUGAAGAAGAAUGUCGCAGAGUAACUGUCGUCAGCCGUCCGAUUCAAACAGAAAGCCCCGCCACUACGUGCCAGCAACCGCGGUAAACGUAGGUGGCAAGCGUUUCCGGAUUAUUGCGUACAAGGAGUCCAGCGGUUUUUCAGUCGAUGUGAAAGCCCCGCUUACCCGAGGGAAGGAAUCGGAAACUGGGAACCUGAGUGCAGAAGAGGACAGUGGACUCCAUGUGUAGCGGUGAAAUGCGUAGAAAUAUGGAAGACCCCCAGUGGCGAAGGCGGCCGUUUUGGUCUGUUACUGACGUUGAGGCUUGAAAGCAUUGGUAGCGACCAGGAUUAGAUACCCUGGUUGUCAUGCCGUAAACGAUGAAUGCUAGGUGUUUGAGGGUUUCCCCCCCUCAGUGCCGCCGCUAACGCAUUAAGCAUUCCGCCUGGGGGAGUACGGCCGCAAGGUUGAAACUCAAAGGAAUUGACGGGGGCCCGCACCAGCGGUGGAGCAUGUGGUUUAAUUCGAAGCAACGCGGAAGAACCUUACCAGGUCCUGACAUCUUUUGAUCACCUGAGAGAUCAGGUUUCCCUUCGGGGGCAAAAUGACAGGUGGUGCAUGGUUGUCGUCAGCUCGUGUCGUGAGAUGUUGGGUUAAGUCCCGCAACGAGCGCAACCCUUAUGACUAGUUGCCAGCAUUUAGUUGGGCACUCUAGUAAGACUGCCGGUGAUUACCCGGACCAAGGUGGGGAUGACGUCAAAUCAUCAUGCCCCUUAUGACCUGGGCUACACACGUGCUACAAUGGAUGGUACAACGAGUUGCGAGACCGCGAGGUCAAGCUAAUCUCUUAAAGCCAUUCUCAGUUCGGACUGUAGGCUGCAACUCGCCUACACGAAGUCGGAAUCGCUAGUAAUCGCGGAUCAGCACGCCGCGGUGAAUACGUUCCCGGGCCUAGUACACACCGCCCGUCACAACAUGAGAGUUUGUCACACCCGCAGCCCGGUGGCCGUAACCCUAUUAGGGAGCGAGCCGUCUUAUAUACCAUCAAAAGAACCCA